rnacentral:rRNA from 1 species
GACAGAGGGUGCAAACGUUGCUCGGAAUUACUGGGCGUAAAGCGCGUGUAGGUGGCUUGUUAAGUCGGGUGUGAAAUCCCUCGGCUCAACCGAGGAAGUGCAUUCGAUACUGGCAAGCUCGAGUACCGGAGAGGGUCGUGGAAUUCCUGGUGUAGAGGUGAAAUUCGUAGAUAUCGGGAGGAACACCGGUGGCGAAGGCGGGUCUCUGGGCAAUUCCUGACGCUGAGGCGCGAAAGCGUGGGGAGCAAACGGG